rnacentral:rRNA from 1 species
UGUAAGCGUAUACCAAAGUUGUUGCAGUUAAAACGCUCGUAGUCGGAAUUUGGCAGUUCCGGAUGUGUGCACGUCGUGUGCGCACUUCGCGGGGAUUGCUUUUGUGGUCUUGCGUAGGAUGAGGCACUUUUAUUAGUGAACGUCCUCACGCAACCACUUUUUACUGUGAGAAAAUCAGAGUGCUCAAAGCAGGCAUUUGCCGUGAAUGUAUUAGCAUGGAAUAAUAGAAUAGGACUUGGUUCUAUUUUGUUGGUUUGUUGGGACUGAGUAAUGAUUAAGAGGGACAGUUGGGGGCAUUUGUAUUUCGGUGCUAGAGGUGAAAUUCUUAGAUUACCGGAAGACAAACUGCUGCGAAAGCGUCUGCCAAGGAUGUUUUCAUUGA